UUUUACUCCAUUUAUUGCAGGGGGAUUCCUACUGGCUUACUGUCCAGUUGCUCCCAAGUCCUUGCUUAAUCUAGAAAGGACAAGGUGACUUAGACCAAAUGGUGUGGAAUUGUAAAAGAAUAGACAGUGGAUGAGGUCCUUCAAGCAUUCCUCAAAGUAAUCUUCCACCUCAGAAGCAGAACCCAGGCCAGGAUGCAGUGCUCGAGGAAACCUUUCACUGA
rnacentral:lncRNA from 1 species